rnacentral:rRNA from 2 species
AAAUUGAAGAGUUUGAUCAUGGCUCAGAUUGAACGCUGGCGGCAGGCCUAACACAUGCAAGUCGAACGGUAACAGGAAGCAGCUUGCUGCUUCGCUGACGAGUGGCGGACGGGUGAGUAAUGUCUGGGAAACUGCCUGAUGGAGGGGGAUAACUACUGGAAACGGUGGCUAAUACCGCAUAACGUCGCAAGACCAAAGAGGGGGACCUUCGGGCCUCUUGCCAUCAGAUGUGCCCAGAUGGGAUUAGCUUGUUGGUGAGGUAACGGCUCACCAAGGCGACGAUCCCUAGCUGGUCUGAGAGGAUGACCAGCCACACUGGAACUGAGACACGGUCCAGACUCCUACGGGAGGCAGCAGUGGGGAAUAUUGCACAAUGGGCGCAAGCCUGAUGCAGCCAUGCCGCGUGUAUGAAGAAGGCCUUCGGGUUGUAAAGUACUUUCAGCGGGGAGGAAGGUGUUGCGGUUAAUAACCGCAGCAAUUGACGUUACCCGCAGAAGAAGCACCGGCUAACUCCGUGCCAGCAGCCGCGGUAAUACGGAGGGUGCAAGCGUUAAUCG